AUUGAACGCUGGCGGCAGGCCUAACACAUGCAAGUCGAGCGAGAACGGUCCUUGGGCUCAGUAGAGCGGCGGACGGGUGAGUAACGCGUGGGAAUCUGCCCAGUAGUGGGGGACAACAGUUGGAAACGACUGCUAAUACCGCAUACGCCCUACGGGGGAAGGAGGGGAUCUUCGGACCUUUCGCUAUUGGAUGAGCCCGCGUCAGAUUAGCUAGUUGGUGGGGUAA
rnacentral:rRNA from 1 species